AGUCAUAUAUGCGUAUUCGCACGGGUUAAACCGUGAGGAAAGUCCGGACACCACAGGGUAGGAUUCCCGCCGCAAGUCGGGGCACGGCGCAAGCCGUGACGGACAGUGCCACAGAGAAGAUACCGCCGCUACCGCAAGGAAAACGGUAAGGGUGAAAAGGUGGGGUAAGAGCCCACCGCUCCAAGGGUAACCGAGGAGGCAAGGUAAACCCAAUCCGGUGCAAGAUAAACAGGAGCCGCUACUAGGUCACCCACCGAGGCUCCGGGUUGUCGCAUCGCCGCAAGGCGGGACUUAAAACGUCAGAGAAAUGAAUACGCAGAGGUAAGGUGAGUACCCCCUCAGACAGAAUCCGGCUUAUAGUAUAUGACUCAAC
rnacentral:RNase_P_RNA from 1 species